GACGAACGCUGGCGGCGUGCUUAACACAUGCAAGUCGAGCGGUAAGGCCCUUUCGGGGGUACACGAGCGGCGAACGGGUGAGUAACACGUGGGUGACCUGCCCUUAGCUCUGGGAUAAGCCUGGGAAACUGGGUCUAAUACCGGAUAUGACUCCAUGACGCAUGUUGUGGGGUGGAAAGCCUUGUGCGGCUAGGGAUGGGCCUGCGGCCUAUCAGCUUGUUGGUGGGGUGAUGGCCUACCAAGGCGACGACGGGUAGCCGGCCUGAGAGGGCGACCGGCCACACUGGGACUGAGACACGGCCCAGACUCCUACGGGAGGCAGCAGUGGGGAAUCUUGCGCAAUGGGCGAAAGCCUGACGCAGCGACGCCGCGUGGGGAUGACGGCCUCGUGU
rnacentral:rRNA from 1 species